rnacentral:rRNA from 1 species
UACGAAGGGUGCAAACGUUGCUCGGAAUCAUUGGGCGUAAAGCGCACGUAGGCGGCCCUGUAAGUCGGAUGUGAAAUCCCUCGGCUCAACCGAGGACGUGCAUUCGAAACUGCAGGACUCGAGUAUGGAAGAGGGUCGCGGAAUUCCCGGUGUAGAGGUGAAAUUCGUAGAUAUCGGGAGGAACACCAGUGGCGAAGGCGGCGACCUGGGCCAAUACUGACGCUGAGGUGCGAAAGCGUGGGGAGCAAACAGG